ensembl:lncRNA
UUUUUUCAGAAACUUUAUUAAUUCAUGCAAUCCGUAUCAUACCAGCAGCCACAUCCCACAAUGCAGUUUAUUAAGGCAGAGAAACAUGAGCACAACUGCACCUGAACAGUUCAAAUCGUACAUGAUCUAUUUAACAUAGCAUUUUGUAAACAACAAACAAGACAUCUCAUCCCAGAGUGGAAAGCGCAAGUGGUUUCUUAAAGGGAAAUCCACCAAUAUACUUUGAACUGUCACUACAGAUAUUUUUAAUAGUUACAUUUGAAAAUAGUGCUGAUGUUUUAACUUGUCGCUAACUUAAAACACUAAUUAUUCGGCAUUUAACAUGAUCAGAACAAAAUACUAGAUUAUUACACGUCAGUAAAUCAGAUUUCAAAUGAGCCUAUAUCACAAAAAUAUGUAUUUCUUUAUAAAUGUUAUAAAGUUUAAAAUUAGAACAUAGUGAUAAUGUCGACCUAUUAUUUUACAGUAAUAUUCAAAUUUCAUGAUAUGCUAAACUGUCCAUUUUAUUUCUCUGUACUUUUAAUCUACUGUAAAGGCAUUUUACCUAAUUAUUUUACUCUUUUGACUCACCCUGAUUCGACUGAAAUGCCACAAGUACAAAAUUAUUCUCAUUUAUCACCUUGUACAUAUUGAAAUAACUGACUAAACAUUAAAACACAAAUGAACGCAGAAUCUAUAGUGUAACAAUAACAAUACCGAUGACAUCUUCAAAUACACAUGACAGCAUAUUUCAUUUGCAAUUAGACAUAUGUGCUAAUGUGUCUCCUUGUAUAUAGCACUAAUAUCCAAACAUACACUACUAAAGCACUACUGCAUUUUAAUUCGACACGUUUAAGGCACUUUGAAUGUUUAGCAGCUCAACUACUAUCUACAAUGAGUUCCUAAAGAUUUGCAUACUAUUCUUUUAAAGAGAUAGUCCAGGAUAUUGCCAGACACAUUUAAUUAAUAGUCAUUUCAUACAGUUGUUGGUGUAUUUUUGGAGUAGCAGAAAGAAGCAACAGAA